UUUCCGUAGGUGAACCUGCGGAAGGAUCAUUAUUGUAUAACCGAGGUGCGAGGGCUGUCGCUGACCCGAAAGGUCGUGCACGCCCGAGUGCCCUCACACAUCCAUCUCACCCCUAUGUGCACCACCGCGUGGGUCCCCCUUUGGCUUGUUCGGAGGGGGGCGUACGUUUUCACACAAACUUUGUAUGCAGUGUAGAAUGUAUUUUUUGUUUUUGCGACCACGCAAUCAAUACAACUUUCAACAACGGAUCUCUUGGCUCUC
rnacentral:misc_RNA from 1 species